CAAGUUCAUCCUAGAAAUGCUUAAUUGGGCAUAGGUCUAGAGAUAAAGCCGACCAAGGCAGACCGUCAAUGUUAUUCUGUUCAAGAUACUCCAUAUAAACGUGCGCCACGUGACAUCGAGCGUUGUCCUGCUGAAACGUGUGGUGAUUUCCACUAUAGGAGAUAGGAUCUUGUCUCGAUAACGGACUCCAGUAUGACUUCCCUCAUCAUCUUUAGCUCUCUGCGUCCACAAUGUGUAAUUUCUGUCCAGACCAUUACGCCCCUACCACCAAACAUAUUGCUUUCAUGCAUACAAGCGUCAAGGUAUCGCUCGUUUUGCCAUCGAUAGAUUCUUAUCCUUCCAUCAUUACAACGAAGAAGAAACCGAGAUUUUAUCACUAAACAACACAUUUUGCCACCGAAUACGGUUCCAGAAUAUACGUGCAUUGGCGCAGCGUAAGCGUGCUGUACGAUGACGUCGUGUAAGCAUGAGUCCAACUACUGGGCGUCUUGAGCGUAACCCUACCUCCUUCAGACGAUUAUUUACCGUUUGGGUAGAAAUUUUGCUGCUGUGCCUACCAGCCGCCUGGUUUCCUGUAACAGUAGCAGGCAGACAUUGGCAUGUGAACGGGAUUGUAAGCCCAUAUUUUAAUUUAAAUUUGCAUAUAAUAUUUAAAUCGUAUCAUGCAUGACUAAUUUUAUUCACGUGCCAUGAAGCAGUGAUGAUAAUAACAUACCAGAGUCGGAUCCAGAAUUUCUGAAAGUGAAGUAUUAGCCAAAGUAAGCAGCCAUUUUGGGUGCCAAAUCUGAAGUUUUCAUCUAUAUAUGUUUGAUAGUGGCACAACAAAACACACACAUUUUCAUGGGCGCCGCCAUUACAGCUGACACUAUAAGUUACGGGAAUACUUACGGUGAUUCCCAAUGGUCCUCGAUAGCUCACGUAAGGUCAUGCAUUUUAAUGAGUUAUGCGAAGAUAUCGGGGUUGUAUACAGAAAGCAAUCGACCGUGGGUUCCCGACGAUGGAUUUAAUUGUGCUCUCGAAAUUGUUGUGAAAUAAUGCCACGUUUAAGUACGCAUGAGCAAAAUAGAGCAUUUGGGAUGGUUCAGGCAGGGAUGUACCAUAUUGAUGUUGUAGAUCGAUUUGGUGUGUCUUGGACAUACCUAUAUGAAUUGAUGAAAUACGAAGUCCGUUAAAAACACAUUGCUCACGUAUGGUGGAUAAAAUUGGCGAGACUACGAGUGCUGAACAUGUAAACCUGUACAUAGACUCGUGCGCGCAGUAGUAAACGCUUGAUAACACAGGCUUUUUCCUGCCCUGUCUUUAUAGACACAAAUACAACCUCCGCUUCAACAAUGCACAUAAAGCAUCUCGCUGAAAGUUUUGCAACUUGUCCAACUUAAACGUAAUCAAAAUCUUCGCUUGGAAAGCAUGCUAUUCUAUGCUCCCGAGGACUGGAAAUAAGGGGCUUUAUCAUUGGUUGAAUAUGGCAAUAAGGAAUGGUAAAACGACCAAUCGCAUAUAGAAGCCAAGGCACACUUCCCAGCGAAAAUACUGGCGUUGUGUCCCACGGUAGGUAAACGGAGAGCGACGAUGAAUUAAGGUAGAGACCGAUAGCAACCACGUGAUCAGUAAAAAUCGUGUAUUUUCACGUGAAAUUAUUUUUCGGAAUUCCGUACAUCUCCAUAGAGUAGUUGAAAAACAAAAAGGGGUUCCGAAAGUACAAGUUGUUGCUGUGACUGAAUCGAUGAUUGAGAGGGUCGUCUCGACGAAAGAUAGAGAAAUUUGGCCAUAGUUUAGAUUAGGAAUACGUCAAUGUAAUAAUAGUGGACUAAAUGUUUCGUCCGUGCAGAAUGGCACUUUUUACCUCACGAAAUUCACCACCAUGCAUAGCUGCGCUACGUAAACAAAGUUGUUGAUGUAGCGUGAGUUUCAAUACUGUUUAUGUAGUCAUUGAGAGUUUAAACAAAGUUUCUUCUGAGAAGAGGAAUUCGAUGGAUGCAUUCAACGUGGACAACGAAAUCAUAAUUUCGUUUGCAUCAUCCUAAGGACCAGUGCAAGUUGAAAUGGGCUUCCAGCCAACAACUUCAACAGCAAUUUGCCAUGAAAAUCACCAAGAAAGGUACUUCAUUUACAUUGAUGAUGUCAUAUCCCCUGGACCCCACAACUUUACAGGUUACAGAGAAAAUUCAAGAACUUCUGCAAAAUGUGGAACUUGGAUAGAAUCAAUAAUGUAUUUGUGAGCCCAGAGCAAUGGAUAUAUUGUGCAACAUACUAUUCUAAAGUGUGAAUUUAAUGGAAAACAAGUACAUGUACUCAUGUAUUACAUGUCUUUUUUAAGACAAUAAUAUUGAAUAAAUAUAGAGGAA